rnacentral:lncRNA from 13 species
AUGUGGUUCGUAAACAAACCUUUUAGAUUACAUCUGUACUCAUCGGACGGCGCACCACCGACAGAGGAAAUGCGCCCGGCGGGGGCCGAGCCCGACCAGGGAUCAGUCCCACGAGGGGAUCCGACCACACCGGAACGGCCGACCCUGACCCGCCGAGUUGAAUCGGACGGCUCUAUAAUCGAGCGAGUCCCUGCAUACCAGUACCUUUGGUAUUGAAAAACAAAACAAAAACAUAACAAUGAGCUUUUUAAGAAAUUAAGAUUUAAAUGUGUUUUUUUUUUAUUAACAGAAACAAAUACAGGUCUCUCUGUAGUCAGCAGGAAGCAUAUUGUGAAACAUUUCUACCUGUUGUUGAUUAUGAUAAUACUGUUUAUCAAAGAGCAGCUGCCUCUGCUGUUAAAACCCCUGGAUGACAUUUCAUCAUAAACGCCCUUUCAUUUUAUCACAGGAUACAGUUUUAUUACUCGUCGCUGUAUUGUUUACCGCACGGUUGGCUGGUCCUCUUUACGGGCACGUUGAUCACAUCAUUACCUUCUUGUAAACAAAGCCCUGCUCCGAAUGCUUCCAACAUACCUAACUUCACUGUUCAUAUUUAAAAUGUAAAGUUAUCAAACCCGUUCACAGGGUUGGUUAGAUCUGGUCUAGAUACCCCAUUGGGUGGCUACAGAGUUAACUCUAGAUACCCCAUUGUGUGGCUACAGAGUUAACUCUAGAUACCCCAUUGGGUGGCUACAGAGUUAACUCUAGAUACCCCAUUGUGUGGCUACAGAGUUAACUCUAGAGACCCCAUUGUGUGGCUACAGAGUUAACUCUAGAUACCCCAUUGGGUAGNNNNNNNNNNGGAGGAACUACAGGGUGAUGAAACAGGUGGAGGAACUACAGUGUGAUGAAACAGGUGGAGGAACUACAGGGUGAGGAAACAGGUGGAGGUGAACGGUGAUCAGGGCUGGAGACAGAAAACCAGGAUGGAGGGAGUGUGGGAAAGUGUAGUUUAACUAAUAAUAUCAUAAUAUAUAAAGUAAUAUGAUUGCCUUCACAGAUGAAAGGAUGGACAGAAGGAUAGAAAGGAAGUAUAGAACAGGAAUAUGUUACUAUGUGUNNNNNNNNNNUCAGUACUGUAGUCACAUCCCUGUUAAUACAGGCUACAGUAAAUCAGUACUGUAGUCACAUCCCUGUUAAUACAGGCUACAGUAGAUCAGUACUGUAGUCACAUCCCUGUUAAUACAGGCUACAGUAAGUCAGUAAUGUAGUCACAUCCCUGUUAAUACAGGCUACAGUAGAUCUGAGGGGAUAAAAAGGGUCCUCACAUUCAGAUGAUUUAUUUCUCAUUGAUAUUUUCCAUAUUUCUGAAUUUACCUACUUUCAUCUUGCCUGCGUCACAACCCAUGUCAAAUCAAACCUAAGUGUAUUUGUCAGAGAGUAGCAGCAGAGUAAAAGAGGGGUUGGGGGUGGCGGGACACAAUGCAAAUAGUCCAGGUAGCCAUUUGAUUGGCUGUUCAGGAGUCUUAUGGCUUGGGGGUAAAAACUGUUGAGAAGCCUUUUUUUCCUAGACUUGGCACUCCGG